rnacentral:rRNA from 1 species
GCUCCAAUAGCGUAUACUAAAGUUGUUGCAGUUAAAAAGCUCGUAGUUGGAUUUCUGCUGUCGGUUCAGAGUCCUUGUCGCAAGACAUGCGUACACUGAUCUCGGCGGCAUCCUGGGGAAGUCGCCGUCUUGUAUUAAUUUGCCGGGCGGUCGAAUCUCCCCUCUUUUACUGUGAGCAAACUAGAGUGUUCAAAGCAGGC